AAAAAAAUCCCUCCAUGGCAACCCCGACAGAGAGCAAAGGAGGAAAAGUGCGUGAACAGAAAUGCGCAAAUGUGUAAAUGAUAAGUGUAACUCUCAUCUGAAAGGUCUGUCAAAGACAGAGAGGGAACAAUUACAAAGACGGCAUAAGACAUGUAGAAUGUGCUGGUGGAGGGAAAAUGAGGCUUUUUCAAAAGUAUGCUUCUUUAAUUAUAUUAUCUUUGUCUAGUUAUGUUAGAAUUUAAAAAUACGUAUUUUUACUGAACACUGCCUUUCAGAAAAUAAAGGAAUGACCACGUUUGAGAAGCCUAGUAUGAUGUGAGGGGUUGGCAUGACUCCUUAGAGAGCCGUUUAUCUUUUAGAAACGUUAUAAAUACCUCCAUCUGUUUUACUGUUAUUGGCCUCAGAGCCAUAAGAACAAUAAUAUAAAAACACCAACUCUGAAAUAACAGCAGCAGAGCUGCAUUACAAAGUUAUAUUGGUCAUAAGACACCAAAGAUUGCAAUGUGUGACUUUCUUGGAUCCAUUGGGCUGGUUAUCGUGUUGUGAUGAACGGCGUUUGUAUCAGUGUGCUUCGACCUUUUCAGUGCAAACCUUUUUUUUCCUAAACGGUGCUUUUUAACCACAAACAUGGCUUGAGAUGCAAACAGCAGUAAAUCCAAAAAUACCCUAAUCCAUUUCUUGUAGACUUGUGGAUACAGCAUAUUUGUGAUUUUAAUAAACAAGGGACUGAUUUGAACUAGGACGCAUAGCAAGAAAUAUCAAACACCCUUUUUAGGAAAUACUGAGUGGACCAUAGACUCCUGGUAGAAAAUAUUUUUGGCCUGUUUAGAAGUUUAUUCUGUUUUGGAUUUGGUGGAUUAGGCUAUCUUCUCUGCCUUGUCGCACCACAUUCGUUUUAGUGUGGCAAAAAUGCAUUUCAGUCUCUGUGAUUUUGUGCGAUGUCUCUUAGUUUUUGUUUGCUGAGCUGAACCGUUUGCUUCGCUUGACAGACGGAGCUGAUUCUGCAGGCACAGAAACAUCCACAAACGUAGUUCACAGAGCGACGCACGCCCUUCUGUGCAGAACAAACAUUUUCAGUCGAAAUGCUUGCAUGCAUAUCUUCUCUCUCUUCAAAGUCUUGCAGAUUGUGUUGAUGGAUGAAGAGCUCAGAUUGUGAAAUGCUCUUUAAUCUGCCCUCCCUCUCCAUCUUGUCUCCCAACACUUUACCCGGCUCUCGUGUCUGUCUUUUCACUUCAUAUGUAUCUCUGCUGGCAGGACAGCUUCCUGUUUUAAUCUUUUUCUGUUUAAUUCCCCACUAGAACUGUUACAGUACACUUUUACUUAUAGAUGAUACGUCAUUUUUACUGACCUUAACCACUUACUAUAGAACAAUCUUCAAUGGCAACCUUUAAACCUCUAAAAAAUCGGUGUCAAAAUAUAGUAGGAAAGCUAUCCAACUUUCUUCUUAUCCAUUUCACCAGAUCCAUUCAUCCCCAGUUCCUCUAUUUUUCACAGUAAAACUUCUCCUUAUAGCAAGCUGAGUUGUCAUUGCUUAAAGAGUCCUUACUCUCUCCCUCCUUUUCUUGAUCCAUAAGGGAGGACAGUCUCCUUGAUUCGUCCCUUGCCGCCUGUCUCUACUCCUCUCUUCCUCUCUGUCCCUCUUGAUACUCCCAGCAGGUGCCUCAUUCAUCUCUUAAAACAAUCACUUGGAAUUCCUGUGGAUCUUCGGGUUGUGGAUGUGGUGGGAUGCAAGAUGUUCGCAUCAACCAGAAAACAAAAGCUAAUGGCUUGUGAAGCUGUUGACUGAGUAAGAGUGUCAUCAUCCACAGUGAAACCGCUGACUUUCCCCUGAAGCAAAAGCAUAAAAUUGUGUUUCAGAGGCAGGAACACAGCACAAGGUUGGUGCUGCAGGGCAGGGUUUAAAAGAUGCAAUUGUGAAGGUUUUGUGAAAGGCAGAUUGUAUUUGUACUUCCAUUUCUUUUAACUGUGACCAAAAUUCACCAUAUCUACACACACAUGCACACCCCCGCGCACCCCCACACACACACACAUAUGUCUUUCUUAACCUCUAAACUCUAUUCACAAAAUGCUUCUUUGUGGAAUAUUUAAUCAUAAAUAUUCCACAAAGAAUACACCUUAAUCAUAAAUACCACUUCUUCUUAUGGAGUCUGGGCUAUGGGCCCCAGAAAUGGGGCCCAAAUUAAAAUAUUUGUUGCAGAAAUUAACCUUGCAAUGUGAGAAGUGCUGAAACACACGCACUUGAAGUUCAUACAAGAACUUACACAUUCACACUUCAUUUUAAAUCCUUGUACACCUUUCACUACCAAAUCUGACACCCCGGACACACCAGCAGAAGUUAGUGAGGCUUUGCAAGUAGCAGAGACAGCCAUCUUCCAAAACAAUUAUCCCAUUAUUACCUUCACUUUUACUCUCUGAUAAAAGCUUUUCUGCAGGCUGCCGCCUCCACAAAAGGCCUUCUCUGUUCAUCAGGUUGAAGGUAAUUACCGCUGUAGGUUGGAAACCGUACACAUUUUCCAGUUCCACGUAUCGCGCCUGCCUGCUCUCUGUGGAUGACUAACAGUGCACUGAUUAUAGGGAGUGUUCAAAGCCUUCAUUGGAUUUCAAACACCCACACUGAUGCACAUAUGCGUACUCUCAAAUGAACAAUAGAGGAAAACAACACCACUAGUAUUACUAGGAUUCAAAUUGUUCAAGCAGAAACUGAACUUUAGAGGAUAUUUAAGUACUUCUGAGGAUAAGAAUAGCUUUCUGUUGGUUCUGUAAGAGAAACAUCGUACAUCAAACAACUGAACUUAAAGUUGUUUGAUGUUCAAAAGCACAUAUAUCUUAUUUGUUUUAUUGAAUCUACAGUAUUUAAGAUAUAAUCCAGAAUUUUCUCCAGCAGAUACCUAAAUGAGAAAAAUAUCUCUGAAUAUUUGAAAUAAUGAACUUCCUUAACAAUUUGACAAAUGUAUUUAUUGAAUCUUGUUCUUAUAGAAUUGAAAAUAACAAUAACAAAGGCAAGAGAAGAAUGAAUAAUGUAAUAAGAGACAAGAAUGAAGGGAAACAAAUCUGAACUGUUUUGUAGGUUGAUGGUCUAAUUUACAAGAAAAGAACUUGGAUUUAUGGAUAAAUGAGGAUAUUUUAUUGCUACUGAAGCUGAAAAGUGUGGAAGAAGAAAGUGGAAAUAGUAGUAACAUUAGUUACACUGGUUGUGAUGAAACGAGGAGACAGUUGCAGUUGAAAAUGUUUUAAAUUUUGGGCGUGCUGUGGUGGCGCAGGGGAUGGUGCGACCCACGUUUGGAGGCCU